UUACUGCUAUCGAGGUUCGACUAAGCCAUGCGAGUCGAAUGUAGCAAUACAUGGCGUACUGCUCAGUAACACGUGGACAACCUACCCUUAGGUCGGGGAUAAACCCGGGAAACUGGGUAUAAUACCCGAUAGAUCUCGACUGCUGGAAUGCAUCGAGAUCCAAAGCUCCGGCGCCUAAGGAUGGGUCUGCGGCCUAUCAGGUAGUAGUGGGUGUAGCGUACCUACUAGCCUACGACGGGUACGGGUUGUGAGAGCAAGAGCCCGGAGAUGGAUUCUGAGACACGAAUCCAGGCCCUACGGGGUGCAGCAGGCGCGAAAACUUUACAAUGCUGGAAACAGCGAUAAGGGGACCUCGAGUGCCAGGUUACAAAUCUGGCUGUCGUGAUGCCUAAAAAGCAUUGCAUAGCAAGGGCCGGGCAAGACCGGUGCCAGCCGCCGCGGUAACACCGGCGGCUCGAGUGGUAACCGUUAUUAUUGGGUCUAAAGGGUCUGUAGCCGGCCGGAUAAGUCUCUUGGGAAAUCCAGCAGCUCAACUGUUGGGCUUUCAGGAGAUACUGUCUGGCUCGAGGCCGGGAGAGGUGAGAGGUACUUCAGGGGUAGGGGUGAAAUCUUGUAAUCCUUGGAAGGACCACCAGUGGCGAAGGCGUCUCACCAGAACGGACCUGACGGCAAGGGACGAAGCUAGGGGC
rnacentral:rRNA from 1 species